AGUGAACGCUGGCGGUAGGCCUAACACAUGCAAGUCGAACGGCAGCACAGUAAGAGCUUGCUCUUACGGGUGGCGAGUGGCGGACGGGUGAGGAAUAAAUCGGAAUCUACUUUUUCGUGGGGGAUAACGUAGGGAAACUUACGCUAAUACCGCAUACGACCUACGGGUGAAAGCAGGGGAUCUUCGGACCUUGCGCGAUUGAAUGAGCUGAUGUCGGAUUAGCUAGUUGGCGGGGUAAAGGCCCACCAAGGCGACGAUCCGUAGCUGGUCUGAGAGGAUGAUCAGCCACACUGGAACUGAGACACGGUCCAGACUCCUACGGGAGGCAGCAGUGGGGAAUAUUGGACAAUGGGCGCAAGCCUGAUCCAGCCAUACCGCGUGGGCGAAGAAGGCCUUCGGGUUGUAAAGCCCUUUUGUUGGGAAAGAAAAGCAGCAGGUUAAUACCCCGCUGUUCUGACGGUACCCAAAGAAUAAGCACCGGCUAACUUCGUG
rnacentral:rRNA from 1 species